AUAACGCUUUCAACUUUUAAACGCAUGUGACCAAAGCCAUAGACACUUUGUUUUCAUCGUCAUCGUCACUUUGCUGCGUCGUCUUGUACAGUGACUUUUUCUAUCCCAGCAUUAACUGCAGCUGCUUAGACCGAUCGUGAUAACUACGAGGGAGCUCUACGUUAAGGAGGAAAACUACACUAUAUUACUACCUAAAUAACUUGAAUAACUGGUUGUUUCGCCGCAAUCAAAAUGAAGCUGCCCAUUAUCGAGACAAUAGUUUUACUUGGAUUGGACGAGAGACUUCAGUAUAAUACUAUUCGCAGUAACUAUUCACACAGUCAACGCCCAGUUUUAGACGUAAAGAAUUCACUUUACACUCCACAAUAUGCAUUCAAAGGCGGAGCGGCUCGACACACGUCCACACGCCACGACGGCCCGACAACCCCU